AGUGAAUGCAAAGUGAGCUGUGUUCCUCCUCUACUUCUGUGACUGCAGAGAGGAUGACAGAGAACAGUGGACACACAGUUGAACAUGAUGGACUAUAGGACAGGACUGCUGCUUUUAACUGUCUGCUGGGCAGGUGUUGAUGCUCAGACUCUGACACAAUCUGAACCAGUGGUUAAAAGUCCUGGACAAUCCCACACACUGACCUGUACAGCCUCUGGGUUCACAUUCAGUGACUUUGGUAUGCACUGGAUCAGACAGGCUCCUGGACAAGGACUGGAGUGGAUCGCUCUGAUAUAUCAUGAUAGUAGCAGCCAAUACUACUCUGAUUCAGUCAGAGGUCGGUUCACCAUCUCCAGAGACAACAGCAGACAGCAGCUGUAUCUGCAGAUGAACAGUCUGAAGGCUGAAGACUCUGCUGUGUAUUACUGUGCCAGACACACAGUGACACAACUACCAGCAGAGCUGAACAAAAACCCCUCAGAGUCUGAACACCAAGCUUGAAGCCAACAGAGGAGGCGCUCUAACACCACAAAUCACUAAAACACCAGCUGAGUGGGACAAACAGUCUCUCUCUACAUGUUUCAUAAUAUAAAUGGAAGCUGUUUCCCUUCAUGAUAAAAACACAUGGGUGACUCAAUGACAGCAGGAAAACAACAUUAAACACAUGGAUCACAGCUUUACUAUCAAACAUCUAAAAAUUUAUUUGGACUUUUACACUUUUGUUGAUUUUAGAGGAAAGUCAAGCUCAGCAACAAGACAAGGCUGAUAACUGCAUCAUUAUGUUAACAUUCAAACUUGACAUCUGAUCUAUAAUAUCCAUCAGUAUGAACUAUAUCUGAGCACAGAGUCACUGAUAAAAACACAGUUUCUUCAUUGUGAACACUUGAUACUUGGAGCCCUCAGAUGUAUCUGUAUCUGCAGAUGAACAGUCUGAAGGCUGAAGACUCUGCUGUGUAUUGCUGUGCCAGAG